rnacentral:rRNA from 1 species
UCCGUAGGUGGACGGUUAAGUCAGAGGUGAAAUCCUGCAGCUCAACUGUAGAAUUGCCUUUGAUACUGGUCGUCUUGAGUCAUUGUGAAGUGGUUGGAAUAUGUAGUGUAGCGGUGAAAUGCAUAGAUAUUACAUAGAACACCGAUUGCGAAGGCAGAUCACUAACAAUGUACUGACACUGAUGGACGAAAGCGUGGGGAGCGAACAGGAUUAGAUACCCUGGUAGUCC